AUUUUUUUUUUGUUUUCCUGUUCUACAUUUACUUGGCUGAGACUGUUCCUAUUGUUACUUAUCUAAGUUUUACAAUUUAUUCAAUUUUUAGCUUGAGAAGCUGAGUGACAUACAGUGCCAACCUGAGUCACAGCUAAAGUUCAUAACACAGGCCUGGCUUCAGGUAAGAUAAUUUAACUUUUAUUUCAAGGUACAGUUUCUUCACUCGAAGAAAUGAAAUAAUGUUUUCCUUGCUAUUUUUUUUUUCAGAUCGUUGAGUGCAGGCGUGUUUUGAAAUGGACAUAUGCUUAUGGAUAUUAUUUACCAGAGCAUGAACAUGCCAAGAGACAGUUCUUUGAGUACUUGCAAGGUGAGGCAGAGUCUGGGUUGGAAAGACUUCAUCAAUGUGCAGAAAAGGAGCUACAUGUUUA